AACAUACCUCAUAGUACGGAAUAACUGCGGGAAACUGUAGCUAAUACCGUAUAUUCCAGAAAUGGGAAAGAUUUAUCGCUAUGAGAUUGGCCCGCGCAAGAUUAGCUUGUUGGUAAGGUAACGGCUUACCAAGGCUCCGAUCUUUAGCUGGUUUGAGAGGAUGAUCAGCCACACUGGGACUGAGACACGGCCCAGACUCCUACGGGAGGCAGCAGUAGGGAAUAUUGGACAAUGGGGGAAACCCUGAUCCAGCAAUGCAGCGUGAGUGACGAAGGCCUUAGGGUUGUAAAACUCUUUCAUCGGUGAGGAUAAUGACAGUAGCUGAAGAAGAAGGACCGGCUAAUUCCGUGCCAGCAGCCGCGGUAAUACGGAAGGUCCUAGCGU
rnacentral:rRNA from 1 species